UCUCAUGGAUGAGCAAAGAAAGCGGUUUCUUGAGAUUCAAUCUGCUCCUGGUGAAGACGCUGUGAG
rnacentral:pre_miRNA from 4 species